GUAGCAAGGGUAACCGAAUAGGGGAGCCGAAGGGAAACCGAGUCUUAACUGGGCGUUAAGUUGCAGGGUAUAGACCCGAAACCCGGUGAUCUAGCCAUGGGCAGGUUGAAGGUUGGGUAACACUAACUGGAGGACCGAACCGACUAAUGUUGAAAAAUUAGCGGAUGACUUGUGGCUGGGGGCGAAAGGCCGAUUAAACCGGGAGAUAGAUGGUUGUCCCCGAAAGCAAUUUAGGUAGGUCCGCGGGAAUU
rnacentral:rRNA from 1 species